rnacentral:rRNA from 1 species
CGCUGGCGGCGUGCUUAACACAUGCAAGUCGAACGAGACCUUGGGAAGUAGAUUCUUCGGAUGACACAUCCCAAGCGAGAGUGGCGGAUGGGCGAGUAACGCGUGAGCAACCUGCCUUUCACAGUGGAAUAACAUUGGGAAACCAGUGCUAAUACCGCAUAAAGUAAGCGAUAGGCAUCUAUCAGCUUACCAAAAGAAUUUUGGUGAAAGAUGGGCUCACGUCUGAUUAGGUAGUUGGUGAGAUAAAAGCUCACCAAGCCGACGAUCAGUAGCCGGACUGAGAGGUCGAUCGGCCGCAUUGGGACUGAGACACGGCCCAGACUCCUACGGGAGGCAGCAGUGGGGAAUAUUGGGCAAUGGAGCGCAAGCCUGACCCAGCAACGCCGCGUGAAGGAAGAAGGUCUUCGGAUUGUAAACUUCUUUAGACAGGGACGAAGUAGUGACUUUACCUGUAGAAUAAGCCACGGCUAACUACGUGCCAGCAGCCGCGGUAAUACGUAGGUGGCAAGCGUUAUCCGGAAUUACUGGGUGUAAAGGGCGUGUAGGCGGUUAUGCAAGUUAGAUGUGAAAUCUCCCGGCUUAACUGGGAACGUGCAUCUGAAACUGCGUAACUAGAGGUAUAGAGAGGAAAGUGGAAUUCCUAGAGUAGCGGUAAAAUGCGUAGAUAUUAGGAGGAACACCAGUGRCGAAGACGACUUUCUGGAUAUAACCUGACGCUCAGGCGCG